rnacentral:lncRNA from 1 species
GUAUUUGGGUCUCACAAAUAAGAGUAGAGACUUGACUGCCCCCUGGUAUAACUUGUCCCUUUGUUCUGAGAAAGCGAUCCAAAUGAUGCAAAGACCAUUGAUUCAAAGAAACAUGGAUGAGAAGCCACAGCUCUAAGAAGCAAAACUCUCCGGCCUCUUGGACUUUGGUUCCUUGAACAGGAUCCUAAGCUUGGAAACUCUCCAAGUGACAGAAAAUUGGCAGAUUCUUCAUCGUUGAUUCCUUACUGGCUCUUUGGAGAGGAAAGGAGUUUUGCUCAGGACUUGGCGGAGCCCUUUGCUUGGCACCUUAGCCAGUAACUCAAAGUUCAAGGAACUUGACAGACAGAGGCUGUUUUUCUGGUGAGAUUUGAACGUGCCCAUUUGAGUCUGUCAUUGCACGUUUGCAUCUUGUCUCCUUCCAGAGGAUGCUUAUUUCUGACCAGG